AUACGGAGGGGGUUAGCGUUGUUCGGAAUUACUGGGCGUAAAGCGCACGUAGGCGGACUGGAAAGUUGGGGGUGAAAUCCCGGGGCUCAACCCCGGAACUGCCUCCAAAACUUCCAAUCUAGAGAUCGAGAGAGGUGAGUGGAAUUCCAAGUGUAGAGGUGAAAUUCGUAGAUAUUUGGAGGAACACCAGUGGCGAAGGCGGCUCACUGGCUCGAUACUGACGCUGAGGUGCGAAAGCGUGGGGAGCAAACGGGAUUAGAUACCCUAGUAGUCC
rnacentral:rRNA from 1 species